rnacentral:rRNA from 1 species
GACGAACGCUGGCGGCGUGCUUAACACAUGCAAGUCGAACGAUGAACCCGGAGCUUGCUCCGGUGGAUUAGUGGCGAACGGGUGAGUAACACGUGAGUAACCUGCCCUUGACUCUGGGAUAACUGCGGGAAACUGUAGCUAAUACCGGAUACGACCCUCGGCGGCAUCGCCAAGGGGUGGAAAGAAUUUCGGUCAAGGAUGGACUCGCGGCCUAGCAGCUAGUUGGUGAGGUAACGGCUCACCAAGGCGACGACGGGUAGCCGGCCUGAGAGGGUGACCGGCCACACUGGGACUGAGACACGGCCCAGACUCCUACGGGAGGCAGCAGUGGGGAAUAUUGCACAAUGGGCGCAAGCCUGAUGCAGCAACGCCGCGUGAGGGAUGACGGCCUUCGGGUUGUAAACCUCUUUUAGUAGGGAAGAAGCGAAAGUGACGGUACCUGCAGAAAAAGCACCGGCUAACUACGUGCCAGCAGCCGCGGUAA